GCCGCGGUGGUGGAAUUGGUAGACACGCUAGCCUUAGGAGCUAGUAUCGCAAGAUGUGAAAGUUCGAGUCUUUUCCGCGGCACCA
rnacentral:tRNA from 1 species